CCCCCAUUGCCUACCCUUUAGCACCCUUUUACCUUGGAACCAAUACACAGUAUUGAUUUUAAGACAGAAGGGAAGGGUUUAAAAAAAGAAAAAGAAAAGAUCUUAUCCAUUCCAAUAAAAGUUUUAGCUUCCUUUUUACUUUUAACUCAUUAAGACUCAAUUUAUUUAUGGUCUCUUUUUUAAUAUUCAUUAUGGAAUGCAAAAUAGUUUCUCUUGUUUGCAUCUAUACCAUGGAAAUAACCCAUGUAGAGAAGUGAACAGUACUAACCUAUCAUGAUUCCAAAUGUUUCAGAUUCACAGCCAGCCAUCGAAUCCAAUCUGUGCUUGAACAGAGUGAAGAAUCUCUUCUCCAACACAGAUGAAAUUAAUUCAAAGACAGGUCCAUGAGAAAGUUAACCAGGACUUGACAAAAAGCAAGCCAUGAUGUGACAAACCCUGAGUGGUCCCUCAGUCUACCACCCCAGGGGAUGGAAUGCUGUGUUUGGUAAAGGAAGAGACAAUUUCUAGCUUGUAGUCUUCCCUCGACUCUUCAGAAUUGAUGGAGCUUGAGUCCUGUUGGUGAACACUAGAGAAUGCUCACAAAACAAAGCAGGUCGAGAGAUUGAAGAAGAGGAAAGAGAAGUCUUCAACCAAAGGCUCAAGGAAUGCACCCAAAGAAAAACCAGGUCAGAAAGGUCCAUAGACCAGGAGAAGGGUAAGAACAAGAGAGAGGUGAGGGCCAGGAGAGCUGGUCAGAGGCGUGAAAGGCUGACUGAAAGCUUUGAAUGGGAAAGUUUUGAGUUGGAGUGUGAGAGCCUGAGUGUUCAAUUGAGAGUCUGAGUAACUGCUUUAAGUUGAUUAAAAGAGAGAAAGUUUCUUCAUGAAUUGAGAUACAAUGGUUUGAGGUUUAAAUGGUUACAAAGUUUUGCAAAAAGCUUCUCAUAGAAGCUUAAGAACUUAAGUUGUGGAUUUCUACUCAAAUUUUUCUGUGGGCUUUUGCUUGUAUUAUAUGUGUAAUGGAUUUCUUAGGCUGAGAUGCUAAUAAUCUCAAAUGCUUGUGAUUUAAAUGUAAGCAAAUAAUGUCUGUAAGUUGUGUUAAUGGAUUCCUCCCAAAAGCUGAAGAGGCGAGACCAGAGCUGGUGAUCCAGCGGGAGGCAAAAGGAGGUUCAGAAAUUCUUAACUUUAAGGCCUAAUUUUUCUUCCCAAAGUUUUGGUCUUCUUAACGUAUGAAAUAUUGUGUAUCAAGCACAGUUAAUAUUGGUAAUAAGAUGCAUUUUAUUCUAGGUACUAACCAGGUUUUUUGAGUGCUACAAUUUCAGUCUUUUUCAAGCUGUUAAUUGUUUUCAAAUAGGAAGGUAUGUGUGAGUUCUGGAGUAAAGAAAGUUCAUUUUAGGAUGGUUAACUACAGACCUGACUGGUCAUUGAAUUGGUGUAAAUGACAAGAAAUAUUAGGGAAAAGGUAUUGCUUUAAAGGGCAAGGAAACCCUGAACAUUUUAAACUGACCAACAAAUUUCUUCUUUAGGAGUGGCUUUAGCCUUAGGCCAAAGUGAUUUGAGGCAAGGAUAAGAAAGGCUAAAUUGGAGCAAAAAAAAUAGAAAAGGG
ensembl:lncRNA